rnacentral:snoRNA from 1 species
AGUGUCAUGUGAUGAAACCUUAUCUAUCUUAGGACACCUUCUGACACAGUGCCUAUUUUCCUGUGGAUGAGAAGGCUUUUAUGUUCUGAUGAUACA